rnacentral:rRNA from 1 species
UUUUAUAUGAGAGUUUGAUCCUGGCUCAGGAUGAACGCCGGCGGUGUGCCUAAUACAUGCAAGUCGAACGCGUUGGCCCAACUGAUUGAACGUGCUUGCACGGACUUGACGUUGGUUUACCAGCGAGUGGCGGACGGGUGAGUAACACGUAGGUAACCUGCCCCAAAGCGGGGGAUAACAUUUGGAAACAG